UUACGGCCAUAUCACGUUGAAACACCGAUUUCCAUACGAUCACCGGAAUUAAGCAAUGUCGAGCCUGGUCAGUACUUAGAUGUGUGACCGCUUUGUAAUACCAGGUGACGUAAG